GAAAUCGAGUUACGGUCUCUAGGCCCGACCUCCCAACCCUUUGUUUAAUAGACCUCUGUUGCUUCGGCGGACCCGUCUUACUGACCGCCGGAGGACCGCCUAUCCGGCGUCCUCUGGCCAGUGUCCGCCGAUAGCCUAUCUUAACUCUGGAAUAACCGUGACAUGUGUCUAAGUGAAUUUAUUCAAUUAAAAGCAAAAACUUUCAACAACGGAUCUCUUGGUUCUGGCAUCGAUGAAGAACGCAGCGAAAUGCGAUAAGUAAUGCGAAUUGCAGAAUUCCAGUGAGUCAUCGAAUCUUUGAACGCACAUUGCGCCCUUUGGUAUUCCGAAGGGCAUGCCUGUUCGAGCGUCAUUAUCACCCCCUCAAGCCUUGUGCUUGGUGUUGGACGGUAUGGUGGACCCCUCCACCCGUCCUAAAGACAAUGACGGCGGCCUCGCGGAACCCCCGGUACACUGAGCUUCUUAACUGAGCACGUAUCGGAUCAAGGGCGCCCGGGGCACGGUCCUCUUCCCCUCGGGGAAAAUUUUCUCAAGGUUGACCUCGGAUCAGGUAGGAAUACGCGCUGAACUUAAGCAUAUCAAUAAGCGGAGGAAGGAUCAUUAACGAGUUAGGGUCUCCUAGGCCCGACCUCCCAACCUUUGUUUAAUAGACCUCUGUUGCUUCGGCGGACCGUCUUACUGACGCGUACGACGCUAUCGUGUCUCUGGCCGGGUCGCGAAUAGCCUAUUUCAAUCUGAAAUAACGCUGACAUGUGUCUAGUGAAUUUAUUCAAUUAAAGCAAACUUUCACACGGAUCUCUGGUUCUGGCAUCAUGAAGACGCAGCGACUGCGAUAGUAAUGCUAAUGCAAAUCCCGUGAGUCUCAAUCUUUGACCCAUUGCUCCUUGGUAUUCAGAGGAUGCGUUCACGAUUAUAUCACAACUGAGUGUGGGGAGCAGAUGUGACACUCACCUCAACAGACGGAGCGUCGUCGCAUGAUUAUUAUUUGAGACAGUAUGACGGGCGCGAGCAU
rnacentral:rRNA from 1 species